rnacentral:rRNA from 1 species
CCGUCGGAAUCCGGGAGGACCAUCUCCCAAGGCUAAAUACUCCCUAGUGACCGAUAGUGAACCAGUACCGUGAGGGAAAGGUGAAAAGCACCCCGGAAGGGGAGUGAAACAGUUCCUGAAACCGUGUGCCUACAAGUAGUUAGAGCCCGUUAAUGGGUGAUAGCGUGCCUUUUGUAGAAUGAACCGGCGAGUUACGAUUUGUUGCAAGGUUAAGCGGAAAAAGCGGAGCCGUAGCGAAAGCGAGUCUGAAUAGGGCGCAUAAGUAACAGGUCGUAGACCCGAAACCAGGUGAUCUACCCAUGUCCAGGAUGAAGGUAAGGUAAUACUUACUGGAGGUCCGAACCCACGCACGUUGAAAAGUGCGGGGAUGAGGUGUGGGUAGCGGAGAAAUUCCAAUCGAACUUGGAGAUAGCUGGUUCUCUCCGAAAUAGCUUUAGGGCUAGCCUCGAGGUAAAGAGUCAUGGAGGUAGAGCACUGUUUGGACUAGGGGCCCUUCUCGGGUUACCGAAUUCAGAUAAACUCCGAAUGCCAUGUACUUAUACUCGGGAGUCAGACUGCGAGUGAUAAGAUCCGUAGUCGAAAGGGAAACAGCCCAGACCACCAGUUAAGGUCCCCAAAUAUAUGUUAAGUGGAAAAGGAUGUGGGGUUGCUUAGACAACCAGGAUGUUGGCUUAGAAGCAGCCACCAUUGAAAGAGUGCGUAAUAGCUCACUGGUCGAGUGACCCCGCGCCGAAAAUGUACCGGGGCUAAACAUAUUACCGAAACUGUGGAUGAACCUCUUUAGAGGUUCGUGGUAGGAGAGCGUUCUAAGGGCGGUGAAGUCAGACCGGAAGGACUGGUGGAGCGCUUAGAAGUGAGAAUGCCGGUAUGAGUAGCGAAAGAAGGGUGAGAAUCCCUUCCACCGAAUAUCUAAGGUUUCCUGAGGAAGGCUCGUCCGCUCAGGGUUAGUCGGGACCUAAGCCGAGGCCGAUAGGCGUAGGCGAUGGACAACAGGUAGAGAUUCCUGUACCAGUGCUAAUUGUUUAACCGAUGGGGUGACACAGAAGGAUAGGGAAUCGCACGAAUGGAAAUGUGCGUCCAAGCAGUGAGUGUGAGAAGUAGGCAAAUCCGCUUCUCGCGAAGCAUGAGCUGUGAUGGGGAAGGAAAUUAAGUACGGAAGUUCCUGAUUUCACGCUGUCAAGAAAAGCCUCUAGGAAGAGUAGUACUGCCCGUACCGCAAACCGACACAGGUAGAUGAGGAGAGAAUCCUAAGGUGAGCGAGAGAACUCUCGUUAAGGAACUCGGCAAAAUGACCCCGUAACUUCGGGAGAAGGGGUGCUCUAUUAGGGUGCAAGCCCGAGAGAGCCGCAGUGAAUAGGCCCAGGCGACUGUUUAGCAAAAACACAGGUCUCUGCAAAACCGUAAGGUGACGUAUAGGGGCUGACGCCUGCCCGGUGCUGGAAGGUUAAGAGGAGUGCUUAGCUUCGGCGAAGGUACGAAUUGAAGCCCC